UACGUAGGGUGCGAGCGUUGUCCGGAAUUAUUGGGCGUAAAGAGCUCGUAGGCGGUCUGUCGCGUCGAUCGUGAAAACUUGGGGCUUAACCCUGAGCUUGCGGUCGAUACGGGCAUGACUGGAGUUCGGCAGGGGAGACUGGAAUUCCUGGUGUAGCGGUGAAAUUCGUAGAUAUCAGGAGGAACACCGGUGGCGAAGGCGGUUCUCUGGGCCUGUACUGACGCUGAGGAACGAAAGCGUGGGGAGCGAACAGG
rnacentral:rRNA from 1 species